rnacentral:lncRNA from 1 species
AGGAAUAUCACACAUGUUCAACUUGUAAAAUAAGUUCUGAAGAGUCAUCCUAUAAUCUACAAGAAACGUACACGCGCGGAGGAGCCGAAAAAAGGCCCAGAAAAUACUGAUCGAAGCAGCUCGCGCGCAGAGGAAGCAGAUCUGUGCUGGAUUGCGAAACCAGAAGGCGAAUGCGUGCAAAGGAGCUAGAAAAAGGACAAAAAAAGGCUGGUUGGAGCUGCUUGUGCACGAAGAAGGCCUGGUCGCGUACUCAGAGGCAGCCAUGUGCGAAUGAGUUAAAAGAAGACCAGAAAAAGUUGGUUGAAGCAACUCACACGCCAAGAAAAAGAUCUGUCUGGCAAGACAGCGGCUCGGCUCAGGCUUGCUCAAGCAGCAGCUCAAAUCGGCUCCGCUCAAAAAACGAUUUGGACAUACCAGAUCGUGCAGCUUCAUGCGAAGGAAAGCAGAUCGUGGCGCAAUCUGUGAAGCGGGACCUCGUGUGCAGAAAUUAGAAGGCGGGAUCGCAUUGAUAAGGGCAGAUCUGUUCAAAUCGAGACUUUCUGGUGGCUUCCCAACGAUUUCUGGGCCGGAUGGUAGCUUUUCCAGCGGCGUGUGUGUCUCACGCACUUCUGCUGCCGGUGGCGCGUGAUGCUCACGCGCUCUAUAAACAGUAACCAAAGUCGGGUGGUAGACCGGCAGUGAGUCUCCAAUGCUGUCUAGGGAGGUGAUAAAAGUAUAUCUGAAUAAGUGGGUAUCAACCCAGUCUAUUGUGCUAUUUUAGAGUUCGAAAGAAACCCUAAAAUAGCUUUAUUUGACUCUGAUACCAAGUUGAUUUUAGAAAAAAAAUAUAAAUUUUAUUUCUUUCCUUUUAUGUUGUCACACUUAAGAUAUUUAUAAAAUUUUUAACUUGCUAAUAAAAAAAUUCUUAUCAUAUUAAAAUUCUAAUAACAUAAGAUUGCUAUUAUAAUAGAAUUAUAAUAAUAUCAUCUUAACUAAUUAAAUAAUAAACUAAUAAAAUAAUUAAUAAUUAAAUAUGCUACUCGACAGUCUGUUUGUUUGAGAUCACGGGGAUAAUAUCCAUUCAACAAGAGGAGUUUGCAACACUUUGCGUCCUGCAUCAAUAGUGUUAAGAAGAAAAGUGCAAUAUAUAAUUGUUGGCUAAAAAUAUUAGAAACACCAACAGCUAAUAGUUUUGAGCAUAGGACCGAACCUGUCAUGAACAUGUAGUUCUAUAAUGAGCAUGUUGUAGAAAACUACCAUAAUCCACCACAUGGGGACGGGCCCAAACAUAGAGAUUCAACAACCCUCUGACAGUAAAUUUAUUAAUAAAAUGUCAAAUGUCUCCACACCUCAUUCAAAGUCACAAGACAAAACCAAUGAGGUGAAAAGAAAAGUGAUUUCUUUUAAUCAGACGAAAAAGAAUUACAUCUAUAGGCAUCAACAACUGUUGAAACUAUACACGAAAUUUUCAAAAAUAGCCAAAAAAUCAAUUAGAUCCCAAGGUCCAAUACAUCACAGAGAGAAUGACCCUAAAAAUUACAACAUUUUUGGAAUCAAUGACCUAAUCCUAUCACAAGAUGAACAAAUACGCUAAAAAGCUCUCCUACUCACUCCUUUCCAUUAAUCCGAAAAUGGAAAGGGUGUAGGAGAUACA